AGCUUUGCGCAGUGGCAGUAUCAUAGCCAAUGAAGUUUAUCCAAGGAACGAAUAUUGCUAAUUGAAACAAAUGGUAAAAAUGAUCUUGCUUUCUCUCCUACAGAACUUGGGUUUUCAUCUAGAGCUAAUAAUUGU
rnacentral:snRNA from 1 species